rnacentral:rRNA from 1 species
ACAUGCAAGUCGAGCGCCCGCAAGGGAGCGGCAGACGGGUGAGUAACGCGUGGGAAUCUACCUUUUGCUACGGAAUAACUCAGGGAAACUUGUGCUAAUACCGUAUGUGCCCUUCGGGGGAAAGAUUUAUCGGCAAAGGAUGAGCCCGCGUUGGAUUAGCUAGUUGGUGAGGUAAAGGCUCACCAAGGCGACGAUCCAUAGCUGGUCUGAGAGGAUGAUCAGCCACACUGGGACUGAGACACGGCCCAGACUCCUACGGGAGGCAGCAGUGGGGAAUAUUGGACAAUGGGCGCAAGCCUGAUCCAAGCCAUGCCGCGUGAGUGAUGAAGGCCCUAGGGUUGUAAAGCUCUUUCAACGGUGAAGAUAAUGACGGUAACCGUAGAAGAAGCCCCGGCUAACUUCGUGCCAGCAGCAGC